UACGAACCGUGCGAACGUUAUUCGGAAUCACUGGGCUUAAAGCGCGUGUAGGCGGGCCGCCACGUCGGCUGCUGAAAUCCCCCGGCUCAACCGGGGAACGGGCACCGAUACGAGCGGCCUGGAGGGGGGUAGGGGGACCUGGAACUUCCGGUGGAGCGGUGAAAUGCGUUGAGAUCGGAAGGAACGCCCGUGGCGAAAGCGAGGUCCUGGACCCUUUCUGACGCUGAGACGCGAAAGCCAGGGGAGCAAACGGG
rnacentral:rRNA from 1 species